GAUGAACGCUAGCGGCAGGCUUAACACAUGCAAGUCGAGGGGCAGCAUAAUGGAUAGCAAUAUCUAUGGUGGCGACCGGCGCACGGGUGCGUAACGCGUAUGCAACCUACCUUUAACAGGGGGAUAACACUGAGAAAUUGGUACUAAUACCCCAUAAUAUAAUAGAAGGCAUCUUUUAUGGUUGAAAAUUCUGAUGGUUAGAGAUGGGCAUGCGUUGUAUUAGCUAGUUGGUGGGGUAACGGCUCACCAAGGCGACGAUACAUAGGGGGACUGAGAGGUUAACCCCCCACACUGGUACUGAGACACGGACCAGACUCCUACGGGAGGCAGCAGUGAGGAAUAUUGGUCAAUGGACGCAAGUCUGAACCAGCCAUGCCGCGUGCAGGAUGACGGCUCUAUGAGUUGUAAACUGCUUUUGUACGAGGGUAAACGCAGAUACGUGUAUCUGUCUGAAAGUAUCGUACGAAUAAGGAUCGGCUAACUCCGUG
rnacentral:rRNA from 1 species